CACAAAAACAGAAUAACAAAAAAUGAACGAAAUACUGAACACUAAAUUUAAAAAAUUAAUAAUAAAUACUUACAAGUCCGUCGCCACUUUCUAAGUAGUAUGCAAAUUUUAAUAAUGAACUAGAAAACCAGAAUAUGCAAUCAGAUCGCGGCGAGUCGGCCCGCGAAAACUUCGGGAGCUCCCGGUAGGAUGCGUAGGACCGAAGUCGAUCACGUUGCAGAUUUAGAAGAACCAAUUUUACCAUGGCCAAAUUAUCAAAAAUAUUUUUAAGUAUAAUGAAAUAUGAUUCAUUGAGGAUAAUUUUUUUACCAGAAGCUGAAAGUGAAGUUCUUAAGUUGUGUCGAUACAAAGUGUGACAAGGUAGAUUCACGUUCAAACUCUAAUAUAAAAAAACAUUUAAACACACAACAUUCAACUAUAUUAAAGAAAAUUGAUCACAUUGAUAAUGUAGCGAACAAAAAAACUUUAAUGAGAUGCAAUGAUGGAUCAUUGAAGCAUAAUGCUGGUAGUUCUUUAGAACAACCGGUUUUAGAAGAUUUUUUGAAGAACAAAAUAUUAACUAGUCAAAUUGCAGCAUUAACAAAAGUAGUUGAUAUUUAUAUGACUGCAUGACUAUAUACUGAUACAUUGCUAGUGAACGAUACGGUUGUUAAUGAUUUAGAAGAAAUCGACGCAUUCAACUUGAACUUUCUAAAUGAUGAAGACCAUGAUUUGCCAUAUGCAUUACCAAAACACCAUCGAUGUUGUGCACACACAAUAAAUUUAAUAGCAACAAUG